rnacentral:rRNA from 1 species
UGGGGAAUAUUGCACAAUGGGCGCAAGCCUGAUGCAGCCAUGCCGCGUGUGUGAGGAAGGCCUUCGGGUUGUAAAGCACUUUCAGCGAGGAGGAAGGGUAGUGUGUUAAUAGCACAUUGCAUUGACGUUACUCGCAGAAGAAGCACCGGCUAACUCCGUGCCAGCAGCCGCGGUAAUACGGAGGGUGCAAGCGUUAAUCGGAAUUACUGGGCGUAAAGCGCACGCAGGCGGUUUGUUAAGUCAGAUGUGAAAUCCCCGCGCUUAACGUGGGAACUGCAUUUGAAACU